GUGCCAGCAGCCGCGGUAAUACGAAGGGUGCAAGCGUUACUCGGAAUUACUGGGCGUAAAGCGUGCGUAGGUGGUUCGUUAAGUCCGAUGUGAAAGCCCUGGGCUCAACCUGGGAAUGGCAUUGGAUACUGGCGACCUAGAGUGCGGUAGAGGGGUGUGGAAUUCCCGGUGUAGAGGUGAAAUUCGUAGAUAUCGGGAGGAACACCAGUGGCGAAGGCGGCGACCUGGGCCAAUAUUGACGCUGAGGCUCGAAAGCGUGGGGAGCAAACAGGAUUAGAUACCCUGGUAGUCCACGCCCUAAACGAUGCGAACUGGAUGUUGGGUGCAACUUGGCACUCAGUAUCGAAGCUAACGCGUUAAGUUCGCCGCCUGGGGAGUACGGUCGCAAGACUGAAACUCAAAGGAAUUGACGG
rnacentral:rRNA from 1 species